AACCAACAGGGAUUCCCUUAGUAACGGCGAGUGAACCGGGAAAAGCUCAAAUUUGAAAUCUGCCAACAGGCCGAGUUGUAAUUUGUAGAUGGCUACACUGCAUAAUAGUAGAUGCUCAAGUUCUUUGGAAAAAGACAUCAUGGAGGGUGACAAUCCCGUGAGGCAUGUUACUAGGAGCAUAUAGUGGGCUUUCUAAGAGUCGAGUUGUUUGGGAAUGCAGCUCAAAGUGCGUGGUGAAUACCAUGUAAAGCUAAAUAUGGACGAGAGACCGAUAGCGAACAAGUACUGUGAAGGAAAGAUGAAAAGCACUCCGAAAGGAGAGUGAAAUAGUACGUGAAAUUGUUAAAGUGGAAGGGCUUGAGAUCAGAAUUGGUAGUUUGGGUUCCACGUCCUCUUGGGGGCGUGUACUCCCUUUCCACCGGGCCAGCGGGAGUUUCGUCUCUUGGGUAAAAGCAGUGGAAUGUAGCAGCUUGUCUGUAUUAUAGCCUCUGUUCAUACAAGACGUCGAGACUUGAUUUGUUGGCGUAAUGAUCUCUAGCCACCCGUCUUGAAACACGGACCUCCUGUGU
rnacentral:rRNA from 1 species